rnacentral:rRNA from 1 species
AUUGAACGCUGGCGGCAGGCCUAACACAUGCAAGUCGAACGAGUGGCGGACGGGUGAGUAAUGUAUGGGAAACUGCCUGAUGGAGGGGGAUAACUACUGGAAACGGUAGCUAAUACCGCAUACCAUCAGAUGUGCCCAGAUGGGAUUAGCUAGUAGGUGGGGUAAUGGCUCACCUAGGCGACGAUCCCUAGCUGGUCUGAGAGGAUGACCAGGCACCCUGGAACGGAAACACGGUCCAGUCUCCUACGGGAGGCAGCAGUGGGGAAUUUUGCACAAUGGGCGCAAGCCUGAUUCGGCCAUGCCGCGUUUGUGAAGAAGGCCUGCGGGUUUUAAAGCACUUGCAGCGAGGAAGCGUUACUCGCAGAAGAAGCACCGGCUAACUCCGUGCCAGCAGCCGCGGUAAUAC